GACGGAGGAUGCAAGUGUUAUCCGGAAUCACUGGGCGUAAAGCGUCUGUAGGUGGCUUUUUUAAGUCCGCCGUCAAAUCCCAGGGCUCAACCCUGGACAGGCGGUGGAAACUACCAAGCUGGAGUACGGUAGGGGCAGAGGGAAUUUCCGGUGGAGCGGUGAAAUGCGUAGAGAUCGGAAAGAACACCAACGGCGAAAGCAACUCUGCUGGGCCGACACUGACACUGAGAGACGAAAGCUAGGGGGAGCGAAUGGG
rnacentral:rRNA from 1 species